UUAACAAAAAUAUUUUUGCAUAGGGACAGAUGUUACAUAUCCGAUACAUAAGUACAUAUAUAAAGCGAGAUGUUACACUGCUACUAUGUGAAUACAAAUAUAUCCAUUUCACAUAAAGAUGAAGAUAUUAUCCACGGAUGUGAAAGUAACAUCCUCGGAAAUG